GACGAGGUGGCCGAGUGGUUAAGGCGAUGGACUGCUAAUCCAUUGUGCUCUGCACGCGUGGGUUUUCGAAUCCCAUCCUCGUCG
rnacentral:tRNA from 1 species